UUCGCUUGGUCCUUGUGAAUGAAUGUCCUGCCCUCAGGGCCCUGAUUGGCUAGUGAAAUCUGAAUGACAGCUCCCAUAAGUGGAUGAACUGAAAUUAAAAGACGUGGACCACACAGACCUUCCCAACUCUGGCUUUCACCCAAGUUCAUGCAAGUCUGCUUCAAGACGAUCUGAUUGAAGCAGGACUUCCUUGUGCAUCCCAGAACUUUCACAGCUUGUCUUCUUGCACUCAGUAGGUACUUAAGGUUCUUCCUCUUGGAAGCCUUGUUUUUGUGCACAGUCUAUUACAUACACUCCCCAAGGCAGUGAUCACUUUGCCUCACAACUAGACCAGGGCCCAACCCAACCCCUAUCACAUCGAAACAAGACUUGAUGUCCUCCGGGUUUCAGGAAUUUCAGCAAGUCACGCCAAAGAUUGCUCAAUUAUAACAAGUUGCACCUUUUCUUUUUAAGCAGAGAAGCGAACCCAUUCCAAGACCAAGGUGGUGUUGCUUUUCCUGCAAUCCCAACAAAGGAGGUGGAAGCCAAAGAACCAGGAAUUCGGGAUAUACUUCCUGAAAAACUUCCAGUAUCAAUCACAGACUACUCCAGGUCAACAGAAGCAAUUACAAACCAACCUCCCUAAAUGGCCAACGAGCACCUGCUCCAGCUCCUGGGGAGCUAGCAUUCAUGUACCCUCCGAAAAGUUCUCAGAAUUCCGAAUGUCACAGAGACAUCACAGUAUCACACAAUAUCGCAGAAACUAUCUGCGGCUGGCAAUACCAUACCUCUGCUAGAGCAUGAGGCAAAUCGUAGUCAGCUGCUUUGGACAGUCUGAAGUGUCCCAUAUCUCCACUCCUUGGUUUAAAAUGAAAACACAUUCUUAUAAUAUUUCUGUGUUUUUAAAGAAACCAAAAUUCUGAAGUUGUCACUACAUUAAUUCUUCACUGAAUAGAGAAACCAAGGGGUGGAAAGAGAGCUUGCAGGAAACAGUAGCAAAAAGGCAAGCAAUAGCUAAGAAGUAAUUACACAAGCCAGGCUUGGUGUCACACACGUUUAAUCCCAGCAUUCUGGUGGCAGGGGCAGGCAUUUUUCUGAGUUUGAGGCUAUGGUCUACAUAUUUCUGAGUUCUAUGGUCUACAUAGCAAUAUCCAGACAGUCAGGGUUGUAUGGUGAGACACUGUCUCAAAAACAAACAAACAAAACCACACCUCUGAAACCACAGGCAUAACUGAUACAAUCAUCAGCAUACAGAAGAAGGGCUUAAAGGACACUGGAGACACUCCUGAGAAAGCAGACACGGUCUGAUGAAAGGCUUCUAAGGAGAAUUCAUUAGAAGAGACAAACACAGUCAUAUUGUGGUGAUUAAAGAAAACAGUCUCUCAAGAGAAAACUGGGAUUCUGCACACUUAAUUUAAUAAAAGAAAUACUAGCCGGGUGUGGUGGCACACACCUUUAAUCCCAGCUCGGGAGGCAGAGGCAAGCGGAUUUCCGAGUUUGAGGCCAGCCUGGUCUACAAAGUGAGUUCCAGGACAGCCAGCUACAUAGAGAAACCCUGUCUCAAAAAACAAAAACAAAAAACAACAACAACAACAAAAAAAAAAACUAAUGGGCUGUAGAGGUACAAAUAAACUGCAACCCAAUAACAGUGUCAAUACAAUACAUUUGGAACAAGGCAGGUGAUCAAGCCAAAACAACAACAACAACAACAACAACAACAACAACAAAAACAUCAAAUAUAAAUAUCAAAAGUUGAGAAGUACGGAGCUGGAAAGACGGGUCAGUGGUUAAGAACACUGGCUACUCCUCCAGAGGGACCAAAGUUUGGUUCCCAGCACCCACAUUGUGGUUUACAGCCCGCCAUAACUCCAGUUCCAGGGGAUGUUACUCCCUCUUCUGACCUCCAGAGACGCUAGACACAAAUAUGGUGUGCAUACAUAUAUGCAGACAAUGCAUUCAUACACAGAGUAUGAAUUCAUAUAUAUGUGUGAAUUAUAUAUACUUCCAUCAGGGAACCAUUUCCUCUGCUCAGAUCUAUGCAGAGCAGGAAAAGAAAAUGUUCCACUCCUUUCUCUUUUAUGAUUUAUGUCUCCUUUUUAACCAAUGACCAUAAAAACCACCAUUCUCUUAGAAGAUUUUUCUUUUUAAUGUGCUCCAGGCCUGGGAAAGAGGAACGCUGCCAGACAACACAACCUAGACAGAAUGGGAUUUUCCCUUCUGUCCAACACUGACCAAGGAAGGAAAUGUUAGAAAACAUUUCAAUAGGUUCUUUUUAAAGGAUUAAAGAUAGCUUCUAAAAAGAUUUCCUUUGCCAGGUGGUGGUGGUGCAUGCCUUUAAUCCCAGCACUAAGGAGACAGAGGCAGGCAGAUAGAUCUCUGUGAGUUUGAGGCCAGCCUGUUCUACAGAGCAAGUUCCAUGACAGCCAGGGCUACACCCUGGCUUGAAGAAAAAAAACAAAACUAAAAGAAAGACUUUCUUUGUCACCCAGUCAGCCCCAGUUAUUAGAAAAAGUUAAAAAUUUUGGAAAUGUUUGAAGGUAUGAGGAGGUCCCAGUUGACGGAAGCAGCUUAAAGGGUAUUUAAUAUCAAAAGAUUGGUUGGGACAAGAACUUUUGCAUAAACUGAAAUCCACCAUUACCUUCUCUUAUGAUGAGACAUAGACUUAUAGAUAUCCAGCAAAAUUUCUUACCCUCUGUCAGAAAUAGAUGCCCCAGGGUUGGCCCAACACCAAGCACCUAUAACUGUUCAACUAACCAGUUCAGCUUCCUCCAUCCAGAUUAAACAAUACGCAGUGACCCUGGAAACAAAUGGGGAAUUUGCAGGCUAUAUUUCCUGGCUUGAAGAGACAGGCAUCCUGGUGCCAUGCCAGUCAUCCUGGAAUCUACCUCUCGUGCCUGCAAAGAAACGUGAGACCUUAGAUCCUCAUGAGUCUGACUCUUCCAGAGAAACACGAACACUGUCUUGGACCUGAACGAUGCUUUCUUUAGCCUCCACUUGUCAGAGACGAGUCAACCCAUCUUUACUCUUAAAUGGACAGACCCAGUGGGAGGCUUCAGCAGGCAACAUACCUGGAAUAGGUUGUCCCAGGAUUUAAAGACACUAAAUACAGACUUCCAGUCCUUCCAUUAGAGGUUUCCUGAGAAAAUACAUCCUAAAAGGGCCACUGAGUGACUGUUUUAAGAGUUACACCCUAGGCUACAAAAUGUUGGCUAAGAAAGCCCAACUUUGUAGAAGAUUGGAAUCGCCCAAAAGAACGAUUUCUAAACAGGUUGGCAUCCCCCUUUGCCCUAUUAGCCUUUCCUUUCCACUACCUCUGGUGGGUGGUGGGCUAGAAGGAAGCUUAAAGCAUUGGAGAAUGCUUAUUAAAGUAGGUUUUGAAAAAUCUAAGCCAGAAGCUCAGAAUACACGAGAUACAAUUUGCAAAACACAUGAAACUCAAGAAGAAGGAAGAUCAAAGUGUGGAUACAUGAUCCUUCUUAGAAGGGGGAGCAAAACACCCAUGGAAGGAGUUACAAAGUUCAGAGCAGAGACUGAAGGAAGGACCAUUCAGAGAGUGCCCCACCUGGAGAUCCAUCCCAUAAACAACCACCAAACCCAGACACUAUUGCAGAUGCCAACAAGAUUUUGCUGGCAGGAGCCUGAUAAAGCUGUCUCCUGGGCUGGCAAGAUGGCUCAGGGGGUAAGAGCACUGACUGCUCUUCUGAAGAUCCUGAGUUCAAAUCCCAACAACCACAUGGUGGCUCACAACCACCCAUAAUGAGACCUGACACCCUCUUCUGGUGUGUCUGAAGACAGCUACAGUGUACUUAAAUAAAACUUUUUUUAAAAUGUAAAAAAGAAAAAAAAAAGAAAGAAAAAGCUGUCUCCUAAGAGGCUCUGCCAGUGCUUGACAAAUACAGAAGAGGGUGCUCACAGCCAUCCAUUGGACAAAGCACAGGGUCCCCAGUGAAGGAGCUAGAGAAAGUACCCAAGGAGCUGAAGGGGUUUGCAACUCCAUAGGAGGAAUAACAAUAUAAACUAACCAGUACCUCCAGAGCUCCCUGGGACUAAACCACCAAUCUACUGGUGUCUCUAGCUGCAUAUGUAGCAAAGGAUGGCCUAGUCGUUCAUCAAUGGGAGGAGAGGCCCUUGGUCCUGUGAAGGUUCUAUGCCCCAGUAUAGAGGAAUGCCAGGGCCAGGAAUGGGAGUGUAUAGGUUGGGGAGCAAGAGGAGUGGGAAGGGGAUAGGGGAUUUUCAGAGAGGAAACUAGGAAAGGGGAUAACAUUUAAAGUGUAAUUUUUUUAAAAAAGAAAUGUUCCACAUCCUUUGUCAUUAGGAACAUGUAAAUCAAAAGGACCCUGAGAUUCCUGCUCACAAGAAUCAGGACGGCCAAGAUAAAAUAUUCAGGGGAAAUCAGAUGCUGGUUAGGAUGUGGAAAAACAGGAACAACUCCUCCAUUGCAGAUGGAAUUGCAAGCUGGUACAACCCUAUGGACAACAAUCUGGUGGUUCCCCAGAAAAUACAAAGUAGUUCUACCUGAGGACCCAGGUAACCACUGGUGACACUAAAUAUCAACAAAGAAGAGUCUACAAGCCUCAUUCCAGAAGGAGUCCAACAGGCUGUGUAAGCCAACUACAGAUUGAUUUGAUUUGAUUGAUUGAUUGAUUGAUUGAUUGAUUUAUGGCUUGGAGAUGAGGUGUCUAAAGACACAUAUCAAGCAGCAUGUAGUUCCUUCACAUGAAUAGAAUAUCUAAUGAAGGUAAAGCAGAAGAUUUGGAAUACACUUUCUCCCUUCAACGCUGGAUCAAACCUUUUCAUAAACUACAAAUCUCAAGACAUGUCAGCUACGGUUAGCUUGCAACAUUUCCUAGAACUGGUGGUGUUUUUUGUUUUUUGUUUUUUGGUUGGUUGGUUGGUUUUUGGUUUUUCGAGACAGAGUUUCUCUGUGUAGCCCUGGCUGUCCUGAAACUCACUCUGUAGACCAGGCUGACCUCAAACUCAGAAAUCUGCCUGCCUCUGCCUCCCAAGUGCUGGGAUUAAAGGCGUGAGCCACCACUGCCCGGCUUGGUGGUGUGUUUUAAGAUUGUACUUAAUAAAUAUACAGAGUGCCUGCAGUGUUUUCAACUGUAAA